GGAAAGGUGGUCGAGUUGGUUUAAGGCACCGGUCUUGAAAACCGGCGUACCUUCGGGUACCGUGGGUUCGAAUCCCACCCUUUCCGCCA
rnacentral:tRNA from 1 species